AGUGAACGCUGGCGGUAGGCCUAACACAUGCCAGUCGAACGGCAGCACAGUAAGAGCUUGCUCUUACGGGUGGCGAGUGGCGGACGGGUGAGGAAUACAUCGGAAUCUACUUUUUCGUGGGGGAUAACGUAGGGAAACUUACGCUAAUACCGCAUACGACCUACGGGUGAAAGCAGGGGAUCUUCGGACCUUGCGCGAUUGAAUGAGCCGAUGUCGGAUUAGCUAGUUGGCGGGGUAAAGGCCCACCAAGGCGACGAUCCGUAGCUGGUCUGAGAGGAUGAUCGGCCACACUGGAACUGAAACACGGUCCAGACUCCUACGGGAGGCAGCAGUGGGGAAUAUUGGACAAUGGGCGCAAGCAUGAUCCAGCCAUACCGAGUGGGUGAAGAAGGCCAUCGGGUUGUAAAGCCCUUUUGUUGGGAAAGAAAAGCAGCAGGUUAAUACCCCGCUGUUCUGACGGUACCCAAAGAAUAAGCACCGGCUAACUUCGUG
rnacentral:rRNA from 1 species